rnacentral:rRNA from 1 species
UUAUCCUCCCUCAAACCUCUGUGUUUGGUGUUGGGCCGCGUUGGCGUCACAGCCAACUGGUCUCAAAGACAAUGACGGCGUCCGUGGGACCCUCUUCGCAACGAGCAU